GUGCCAUCUGAAGGGUGACGUUGGAUUGUCUGGUGCAUGUCGGCAGUGUAUGCUGGCUGUUUUUGAUUUAGCUGUGUUGCUUGUUAUGGGCUUAUAUAGUUUAUUAUCCUUACAUAGAACACAGCACCCACUUGAAGUGGCCUAGUAGCAAAGCACAGAACAUGUUUCAAAAGACUACAAGACCUCUUCUUCCGUCUCCAAGCCGGAAUAUAAUGCCGAUGGUCUCCCUCAACUGCAGGUAUUGCGUUACCAUACCAGGGUUUCUGAAACUGAUUCAAAUGGCCCUGAGUGCAGCAUGUGUUCAGGUGAUGCUCAUGUACUGUCGUCCGUCCUACACCUAUCACAGCUGGGGAUUCCUUGGCCGAGGCGAAGAAACCGUAUUUGUCCUGGUGAAUUUCAGCGCCCUCGUCAUGAAUGCCAUAUUGUUCACUGCGUGCUUACUGUCUGUGCCAACUGCUACAGCAGUCUCCAAAACGCUUGUGGAUUUCAUGGGAAAUCUGACCCACUUCUUUGGUUGCAUAGGCAGCAGUUUGGCUCUUCUUUCAUCGAUGCUGGUCCAACAAACAGCUACAAGCUACAAGGAGUAUGCAUUUGAGGGGAAGGUCACUGUUUCGGUUUUAGGGAUAGUGAAUUCCCUACUCUAUCUGUGCAGUGGCCUGGGGGCUUAUUGGACCUGCAAGUCACAUCGCUUUUAGCAAGGAAAGGCAUCCUCGUAAUGGUUUGAGAGUUACGUGAUGGCGUGACCUAGACGUCACAGUCAUGGCAAUUGCAUGCAUAGAAUGUGAGCAUCUAUCUGGUACACAUGGUGGUAGAAGCUCAGUGCACAGGUGACUAGGGCAGUUGGCGGGCAAGUUACUUUCAGGGAAUCAAUAUAUAUCAUGCCAAAUGAAAUACCGUAAAGGUAGUAAUUUUUGCAUUGACCAAUUUUCGCGAUUGUUGUUUCCCCCACGAAUUUUGAGUCCAGUUAAAUAUUGCUAACUACGACAGGAACAAAUAGAAAAAUUGCACCAAACGAGUUUCACGAAGUCGAACUGACCCACUGGGUGCACUUUAACGUAGCACUAUUUUAGCACACGUUGACUUCACUUCGGCAACAUUUACACUGCUGUACAAUCGAUUGUACACUCAUUCGAUCAUUGUUUCGUUGUUCCACCCUCGUUCUUGAUUCAACAUUACAUGCUUGAUGGUUGACCUCAGGUUCCCCUGGGAAAGGUUUGAUUCUACAUGGAUGUUGCAGAAACACCAGUAGUUCUGACCCAGAUGAGCUGCAUCGUACGACAUAGAACAUGCGUCACGAAAUUAAGGUCCCGCGAAAUAUUCUAUAUACAUCCCGCCGAGCGAAUUUGUGAACUGCCACGAAAUUUAUUACUCUUACAGUAUAUAAUUUGCUGCAUCUUGUUCACUUCACUCGAUUAUCAUGAUCAUUGUGGCGUGUAUUUCGAGCAUUUGCGGUAGAAGCCCAGACUACCAGCCAAAAAAGGUAACAGACACAAAGUUUUUCAUGUUCUGCUGGUUUUGAACAAAAUAUCUCGAAUGAUAUAUUGUGAUUAACAUUUUGAAGUCCGUUUUACGUGCAUUCUGUAACUUUUUAUUGAAGUGUUACGUCAUAGGAGUGAUGGAACUAAAAUGUCUCUUUUGGCUGUCUCGGUAAACAUAACUGCAGCUGUAAUAAUUUAUUUUUUAUUCACUUUAAAACGCUAUAAAGAGGUAGCUCGUUACCAGCUGUUACCCAAGACUUAGUUGCGGUCUAAAUCAGCAGCAUAACUAGCUCUCAUGGUGCCUAGCUUUAAAAGCGACAAUCGGGCGAGUAACUCAAUACUUUUUUUUUUUAACUCCAUCAUUUUUGCACUCAUCUCUAUGAAAGUGACCCCAUCGUUUCAUAAGAGAGACAGUGGGUAAUUGUAUACAAGCCCAUCAUUUCUGAACUGCUUGUCUUUGUGUUUUAACACAAAUUGGUCUUUAGUUGCAUUGGAAGCUCUCUUCUUGCACGUACAAUGUGUAACUGCUGGUUUGCGUAAUAUGAUUGUUUUAGUCUCAAGUUGCUUUUGACUCAAUAUGUAUUUGACUACCAAGAGGGAAGUCAUUGUUCCAAAAGGUGAUCAUUGUUGCUCUGCAAUCCCAGGUUUGUGUCUCAAUUUUUCUUAGAACAAAGGCCAAUGCCAAACAAACCUGGACAGACUGUUCUUGGCACAUAUACAUUCUUUUUAGUUCACACGGGCAUCCAAAUGGGGUGGUGUUAGGCAUUAGACGUGCAAAUUCCUGGGAAUAUGGGACUCUUCAGACAGCGUACAUAUAUUUACCAUGUUUUGAAAGGUGAAUUCUCGAAGGAUAGUAGCAUGCACAGAUAUAUUUUAUGCCCAUAUUUUGUGUGCAUAAAAUGUCAAUGGGUUUUGGAUUUGUUACAGCAAGAAUUAUUUAGGAUAUCACCACAUUUUUUUUAAUACUCCAUGUUGUAGGUAACAUUAUUAAGCUUCAUGAUUUUAGUGAAAGGGUUGCUUAAAAUUUGAUAGUAUGCACGGGCAUUUUAUGUCUACAAAGGAAGAGCAUAAAAAACAUUUGGAAGUAUGCUAAUGCAUUCUGACUUCUGGGCAUACGUCCUAAAAAUUGUCACAAGUAUUUUGCCCAUGUUUGGCAUCUGCCUCUGUUGUAGAAAAGGCGACAAAUAUCUGCGUUGGUUCAGCAAUGCCAUUGGCUCCUGUGGUGGGGAAUGACCUAGUUACUGUUUCCACAUGUUUUUAUUAUAGGAAUGUAAAUUGAAUACAUAUGGAGCAUUUGUUGCUAUUAUGCAAUGUUCACCUGUUUGUUCCUCGACAUAUUUUUAUAUUUAUCUUGUCACAUAGGUGACUUUCUUGUUCACUGCUUGUACAUUCCUGUGGCUACCUAUGCCUGUAUAAUUGUGAAGAUGAUUUGGGUGUAUCGAUUCUUUAAACGUCUAUCAAAUAUGUUUUUACAGAAUACACUGCAUAUUUGUGCGAACUGCUGAAAGUGCAGUAUGUUUAUGAGCAUUAUAUGUGUGUAUCUACAAGGUGUAUAAGUAGGUGAUGCUACACGGCGUUAAAGCUGUAAUGUGGACAAGUUGGUACAUCGUCAACGAGUGGGGGAGGGGAAACAGUGCAAAAGACAGGACAAAGAAAGAAACAACCAACCACACAGAUGAAGUGCUGACGAGCAACUGAGGGUCUUUAUACCGCACUGAAAGUCAUAAUUGAAAUCACGUGACACUCUGUUAGUCCUAACUUGCAGUGUUUCUACUUAGGAAAGUGCGGUUUCAAAUUUAACAGAGUUUGGAACUGCACUUGGAACAUAGGAACAUUCGGGAAUAAGGUGAUGAUCACUGCUGAUAGGCGGAUAUUUUCAAAUUACCGAAUAUUUCAAAAUGUUGAGCAUCAGAUUUCUUGAAUCAGGUUUAAGACGGACAACGAAAGCAUUUAAUUCAUGUUGAGAAUGUUCCUUAUUUGUAUACAUCUAAUAUUAGCUUCAGGUAACUGUGCUCUACAAAGUUCUGUACAUACCAGUAGAUUAACUUUUUUUUUAUUUCAAAAGUUAUACCUGGGAUCUGGUUAUAUCACAUGCUGAAGAGGUUGCUUGUGCACUUGAUUUAUGUGACCUCUUUCUGACAGAAGCUGUGUUUGAAUUUAUUCAACCAUAAAUGUUGGAAGCAGUACACCUAGGAAAUAGAACAACCAGCUAAAGCAUAUUUCUCCAUGAGAUGCCCUAUUUUAGAACACUUAAAUAUGUAACUCUUUACAAUAGAAGAAGAAAGGUAUGUGAAAACAUACACAGAUAGUGUGAUCUCAAGGUUCAUAACUAUAAAAGAAAUGCCAGCAUACGAAGGUAUUAGCGGCUCCGUACUUAAUUCUUACUUUAUUGCAGUGUGGACCAUUACUGUGUUUGAACGUAGUAUGCACUGCAAAAUUGGCACGCCAUCUACAGGGUUAUUCUAGCAAACGUUACACAUUUCGACCGCACUGUAAAAAUAGCAGACUACAUUUGGCCCAUCCCAAACUUUGCAGACU